UAGGGAAUCUUCGGCAAUGGACGAAAGUCUGACCGAGCAACGCCGCGUGAGUGAAGAAGGUUUUCGGAUCGUAAAACUCUGUUGUUAGAGAAGAACAAGGACGUUAGUAACUGAACGUCCCCUGACGGUAUCUAACCAGAAAGCCACGGCUAACUACGUGCCAGCAGCCGCGGUAAUACGUAGGUGGCAAGCGUUGUCCGGAGUUAUUGGGCGUAAUGCGAGCGCAGGCGGUUUCUUAAGUCUGAUGUGAAAGCCCCCGGCUCAACCGGGGAGGGUCAUUGGAAACUGGGAGACUUGAGUGCAGAAGAGGAGAGUGGAAUUCCAUGUGUAGCGGUGAAAUGCGUAGAUAUAUGGAGGAACACCAGUGGCGAAGGCGGCUCUCUGGUCUGUAACUGACGCUGAGGCUCGAAAGCGUGGGGAGCAAACAGG
rnacentral:rRNA from 1 species